CUGAGACACAUUCCCCAAGAGGUACAUUGAAGGCUCUUGAAAAUAAAGGACAGAAAAGCCUUAGGAAAUACAAAUGCAUUCAGCCAACCAAUUCCCAGCAUCUUUAAGGUUUUCAAAAGAUAGCCAGAAUAUAUAUUUCUCUUGCUUAUCCCAGCCAGGAUCGAAAUAUGCAAAUAUGCUGCUUUUCUCCAGGAUAACUCACUGUGAGUCAAUUGCAGGAUGGGCACAAUACAAUGGAGCCCAAAUUUCUCAGGCAAAGAAAUGUAAUAUGGACAUCUAAGAGCUUUCAGAAUAUAAUUUCAAAGGCAGGACUGAUUCUCUGAAAAGCCAUCCAAUGUGCUGUCUGACAGCUGUUCCUGCCCAGAAAAUGAACAGGAUACCUACAACACAGUGACUACCAUGUCAUCAGGGCCAUGAAAUGUACAGAGUUGACCAGGGAGCAACAAAAACGUAACUCAAAACAGAAAGCCAUGCAGCCUAGGGCAGUGGUCGCUGGAGGAUGUAUGUAUACAUAUUAUUCUUGCAAUUAGAAAAAAUUUCAAGUCAUCAAGGACAGAAAAGAAAAACUGGGGAAAACAAAGAAUUGAAAUCAACAUAUAAGAGACAAGGCUACAGUUGCUACAUUUAUGAUCUUAGAAGGAAAAAAAAGUCUUUAAGGGAAAAAAGUGGAUCAGAGUUCAGAAAUCCCUCCAGGGCAUGAGCAAAAUGAAGUGAAAGACUCCUAUGUAGGAUGAUAAUACCAUGCCUGAAGCUAGAAAAAUUCUAGACUUGAUAUAACAGAAUUACCAUGCAGUUGAAAAAAAAAUUCCCAGGGUCAGAUCAUACAGAUGGGUGCCCCACACCACUCCAGGAAUUCAAAACGAAGAGGACAUUCUACAGGAGGCCGGACAGGGAAAUGGCUCUGCUGCAAAAGUAAGUAAGAUUUCUGUGCUGGCCACUCCAGUGGCUCAGGGCACACCUCUAACUAUU